rnacentral:rRNA from 1 species
CGCGUAGGCGGCUUGGUAAGUCAGGCGUGAAAGCCCUCGGCUCAACCGGGGAAUUGCGUUUGAUACUGUCAGGCUUGAGUAGCGGAGGGGGUGGCGGAAUUCCAGGUGUAGGAGUGAAAUCCGUAGAUAUCUGGAGGAACACCGGUGGCGAAGGCGGCCACCUGGACGCUAACUGACGCUGAGGCGCGAAAGCGUGGGGAGCAAACAGGAUUAGAUACCCUGGUAGUCCACGCGGUAAACGAUGGAUGCUAGGUGUCGGGGGGCGACUUCCGGCGCCGGAGCUAACGCAUUAAGCAUCCCGCCUGGGGAGUACGGUCGCAAGGCCGAA